UGAGUAACACGUUGGAACCUGCCCCAAAGUGAGGAAUAAGCCACCGAAAGGUGGUCUAAUACUUCAUAAUAUCCAUCUCGUAUGGAUUAAAGCUUUAUGCGCUUUGGGAGGGGCCUGCGUAACAUUAGCUUGUUGGUGAGGUAAAAGCUCACCAAGGCUUCGAUGUUUAACUGGUUUGAGAGGAUGACCAGUCACACUGGGACUGAGAUACGGCCCAGACUCCUACGGGAGGCAGCAGUAAGGAAUCUUCCACAAUGGGGGCAACCCUGAUGGAGCAAUACCGCGUGCAGGAUGAAGCGUUUCGGCGUGUAAACUGCUUUUAUCACCGAAGAUUAUGGCUGUAGGUGAAGAAUAAGGACCGGCUAACUACGUG
rnacentral:rRNA from 1 species